ensembl:snoRNA
AAAAAACACACAAAAAACAAAGAAGGAUUUGAGCUUGCUACAGCAACAAAGUCUAACCUAUUCCAUAGGUGCUCUCCUCUAUGAGACAAGCCGGUAUAUAGACUUAGACAGU